rnacentral:rRNA from 1 species
UACGAAGGGGGCUAGCGUUGUUCGGAAUUACUGGGCGUAAAGCGCACGUAGGCGGACAUUUAAGUUGGAGGUGAAAGCCUUGGGCUCAACCCAAGAAUUGCCUUUGAUACUGGAUGUCUCGAGACCGGGAGAGGUGAGUGGAAUUCCUGGUGUAGCGGUGAAAUGCGCAGAUAUCAGGAGGAACACCAAUGGCGAAGGCAGCUCACUGGGACGGUAUUGACGCUGAGACGCGAAAGCGUGGGGAGCAAACAGG